UUAGGAAUCUUCCACAAUGGGCGAAAGCCUGAUGGAGUGACACCGCGUGAAGGAUGAAGCCUUUAUUGGCGUAAACUUCUUUUCUCAGGGACGAUAAUGACGGUACCUGAGGAAUAAGGGGUUGCCAACUACGUGCCAGCAGCAGCGGUAAUACGUAGGCCCCGAGCGUUAUCCGGAUUUACUGGGCGUAAAGAGUCUGUAGGCGGAGAAGAAAGUCGGUCAUCAAAUUCCGGGGCUCAACCCCGGUUCGUGAUCGAAACUCCUUUUCUUGAUCGGUUAAGAGGCAAGCGGAACGGUAGGAGUAGGGGUGCAAUCCGUUGACACCUACCAGAACACCAAAAGCGAAGGCAGCUUGCUGGGAACCUGAUGACGCUGAGAGACGAAAGCGUGGGGAGCGAAAAGG
rnacentral:rRNA from 1 species